AGGAAUGGCGCAGCUUACCAUGCAGUCGAACGGGAUCCAUCAGGCUUUGCUUGGUGGUGAGAGUGGCGAACGGGUGAGUAAUGCGUGACCGACCUGCCCCAUACACCGGAAUAGCUCCUGGAAACGGGUGGUAAUGCCGGAUGCUCCAGUUGAUCGCAUGGUCUUCUGGGAAAGCUUUCGCGGUAUGGGAUGGGGUCGCGUCCUAUCAGCUUGACGGCGGGGUAACGGCCCACCGUGGCUUCGACGGGUAGCCGGCCUGAGAGGGCGACCGGCCACAUUGGGACUGAGAUACGGCCCAGACUCCUACGGGAGGCAGCAGUGGGGAAUAUUGCACAAUGGGCGCAAGCCUGAUGCAGCGACGCCGCGUGAGGGAUGGAGGCCUUCGGGUUGUAAACCUCUUUUAUCGGGGAGCAAGCGAGAGUGAGUUUACCCGUUGAAUAAGCACCGGCUAACUACGUGCCAGCAGCCGCGGUAAUACGUAGGGUGCAAGCGUUAUCCGGAAUUAUUGGGCGUAAAGGGCUCGUAGGCGGUUCGUCGCGUCCGGUGUGAAAGUCCAUCGCUUAACGGUGGAUCCGCGCCGGGUACGGGCGGGCUUGAGUGCGGUAGGGGAGACUGGAAUUCCCGGUGUAACGGUGGAAUGUGUAGAUAUCGGGAAGAACACCAAUGGCGAAGGCAGGUCUCUGGGCCGUUACUGACGCUGAGGAGCGAAAGCGUGGGGAGCGAACAGGAUUAGAUACCCUGGUAGUCCACGCCGUAAACGGUGGAUGCUGGAUGUGGGGCCCGUUCCACGGGUUCCGUGUCGGAGCUAACGCGUUAAGCAUCCCGCCUGGGGAGUACAGCCGCAAGGCUAAAACUCAAAGAAAUUGACAGGGGCCCGCACAAGCGGCGGGAGCAUGCGG
rnacentral:rRNA from 1 species